GAUGAAGAACGCAGUGAAAUGCGAUACGUAAUGUGAAUUGCAGAAUUCAGUGAAUCAUCGAAUCUUUGAACGCACAUUGCGCCCCUUGGUAUUCCGAGGGGCAUACCUGUUCGAGCGUCAUUACACCACUCAAGCUAUGCUUGGUAUUGGGCGUCGUCCUUAGUUGGGCGCGCCUUAAAGACCUCGGCGAGGCCACUCCGGCUUUAGGCGUAGUAGAAUUUAUUCGAACGUCUGUCAAAGGAGAGGAACUCUGCCGACUGAAACCUUUAUUUUUCUAGGUUGACCUCGGAUCAGGUAGGGAUACCCGCUGAACUUAAGCAUAUCAAUAAGCGGAGGA
rnacentral:misc_RNA from 1 species